ACUGAAGUUCAUAGAAACUUACACAAAAAAUACACAUAUAAAAACUAUUGACAUCGUCUAUGACUUGUCAGCUGUACGUCAGGUAAUCUGUCGAAAUGAAUUGAAAAAGAAAAAAAUAUCAUAAAUUUUACAGACUCCAGAUUGCCAGAAUAGCUGGCCCUCAAGAUGUUGAGCGUGCAACGGAUUACCCUGACUCGUUAUAUAACCAUCAAGAGUCUGCAGGCGUUGGUGAAUCGGCUGGAAUGCGCUAAUGAUCACCAUAUUCUACCCACCGCUCAUCCGAACUAUCAGGUGCAGGCUCGACGUGAACAAGAUCCUCAACAACAGUUCCCAGGGAUUUGGCGCGAUGCAUUAACCGCCAGUGUUAAUAUAAAGUGCGGGCCGAAUUGGAGGGCUUUGACUAUAUGACGCUA